rnacentral:rRNA from 1 species
AUUGAACGCUGGCGGCAUGCUUUACACAUGCAAGUCGAACGGUAACAGGUCUUCGGAUGCUGACGAGUGGCGAACGGGUGAGUAAUACAUCGGAACGUGCCUAGUAGUGGGGGAUAACUACUCGAAAGAGUGGCUAAUACCGCAUGAGAUCUACGGAUGAAAGCAGGGGAUCGCAAGACCUUGUGCUACUAGAGCGGCCGAUGGCAGAUUAGGUAGUUGGUGGGAUAAAAGCUUACCAAGCCGACGAUCUGUAGCUGGUCUGAGAGGACGAUCAGCCACACUGGGGCUGAGACACGGCCCAGACUCCUACGGGAGGCAGCAGUGGGGAAUUUUGGACAAUGGGCGCAAGCCUGAUCCAGCAACGCCGCGUGCAGGAUGAAGGCCUUCGGGUUGUAAACUGCUUUUGUACGGAACGAAAAGCCCUGGGUUAAUACCCUGGGGUCAUGACGGUACCGUAAGAAUAAGCACCGGCUAACUACGUGCCAGCCGCCGCAGUAACAC